rnacentral:sRNA from 1 species
ACAGUGCCGGGGGAAGCUGCAAUGAGUCCUCAGCUCUGGGCCCAGUGGAGGCGCUGGGGACGGAAGAAGGGGAGCGGCCGGGGUCACUGAGGCAGAUGUGGCGCUACCGCUCCUGGGACGUGCCACAGAUCCCAUCAGAGGCACCCCAGACACAGAAAGCCAUCACCAAGUCGGGCCUCCAGCACCUGGCCCCCCCUCCGCCCACCCCUGGGGCCCCGUGCAGCGAGUCAGAGCGGCAGAUCCGGAGUACAGUGGACUGGAGCGAGUCAGCGACAUAUGGGGAGCACAUCUGGUUCGAGACCAACGUGUCCGGGGACUUCUGCUACGUUGGGGAGCAGUACUGUGUAGCCAGGAUGCUGCAGAAGUCAGUGUCUCGAAGAAAGUGCGCAGCCUGCAAGAUUGUGGUGCACACGCCCUGCAUUGAGCAGCUGGAGAAGAUAAAUUUUCGCUGUAAGCCGUCCUUCCGUGAAUCAGGCUCCAGGAAUGUCCGCGAGGGAUUCCAGCAGAAGUUCACCUUCCACAGCAAGGAGAUUGUGGCCAUCAGCUGCUCGUGGUGCAAGCAGGCAUACCACAGCAAGGUGUCCUGCUUCAUGCUGCAGCAGAUCGAGGAGCCGUGCUCGCUGGGGGUCCACGCAGCCGUGGUCAUCCCGCCCACCUGGAUCCUCCGCGCCCGGAGGCCCCAGAAUACUCUGAAAGCAAGCAAGAAGAAGAAGAGGGCAUCCUUCAAGAGGAAGUCCAGCAAGAAAGGGCCUGAGGAGGGCCGCUGGAGACCCUUCAUCAUCAGGCCCACCCCCUCCCCCCUCAUGAAGCCCCUGCUGGUGUUUGUGAACCCCAAGAGUGGGGGCAACCAGGGUGCAAAGAUCAUCCAGUCUUUCCUCUGGUAUCUCAAUCCCCGACAAGUCUUCGACCUGAGCCAGGGAGGGCCCAAGGAGGCGCUGGAGAUGUACCGCAAAGUGCACAACCUGCGGAUCCUGGCGUGCGGGGGCGACGGCACGGUGGGCUGGAUCCUCUCCACCCUGGACCAGCUACGCCUGAAGCCACCACCCCCUGUUGCCAUCCUGCCCCUGGGUACUGGCAACGACUUGGCCCGAACCCUCAACUGGGGUGGGGUAAGCACCCAUAGGAGGGGGGUGCAGCUGGGGCCUCUCCAGCCACAGAGGGCUCAGUCCCUGCCUGCUCCCCCAGGGCUACACAGAUGAGCCUGUGUCCAAGAUCCUCUCCCACGUGGAGGAGGGGAACGUGGUACAGCUGGACCGCUGGGACCUCCACGCUGAGCCCAACCCCGAGGCAGGGCCUGAGGACCGAGAUGAAGGCGCCACCGACCGGUUGCCCCUGGAUGUCUUCAACAACUACUUCAGCCUGGGCUUUGAUGCCCACGUCACCCUGGAGUUCCACGAGUCUCGAGAGGCCAACCCAGAGAAAUUCAACAGCCGCUUUCGGAAUAAGAUGUUCUACGCCGGGACAGCUUUCUCUGACUUCCUGAUGGGCAGCUCCAAGGACCUGGCCAAGCACAUCCGAGUGGUGUGUGAUGGAAUGGACUUGACUCCCAAGAUCCAGGACCUGAAACCCCAGUGUGUUGUUUUCCUGAACAUCCCCAGGUACUGUGCGGGCACCAUGCCCUGGGGCCACCCUGGGGAGCACCACGACUUUGAGCCCCAGCGGCAUGACGACGGCUACCUCGAGGUCAUUGGCUUCACCAUGACGUCGUUGGCCGCGCUGCAGGUGGGCGGACACGGCGAGCGGCUGACGCAGUGUCGCGAGGUGGUGCUCACCACAUCCAAGGCCAUCCCGGUGCAGGUGGAUGGCGAGCCCUGCAAGCUUGCAGCCUCACGCAUCCGCAUCGCCCUGCGCAACCAGGCCACCAUGGUGCAGAAGGCCAAGCGGCGGAGCGCCACCCCCCUGCACAGCGACCAGCAGCCGGUGCCAGAGCAGUUGCGCAUCCAGGUGAGUCGCGUCAGCAUGCACGACUAUGAGGCCCUGCACUACGACAAGGAGCAGCUCAAGGAGGCCUCCGUGCCGCUGGGCACUGUGGUGGUCCCAGGAGACAGUGACCUAGAGCUCUGCCGUGCCCACAUUGAGAGACUCCAGCAGGAGCCCGAUGGUGCUGGAGCCAAGUCCCCGACAUGCCAGAAACUGUCCCCCAAGUGGUGCUUCCUGGACGCCACCACUGCCAGCCGCUUCUACAGGAUCGACCGCGCCCAGGAGCACCUCAACUAUGUGACUGAGAUCGCACAGGAUGAGAUUUAUAUCCUGGACCCUGAGCUGCUGGGGGCAUCGGCCCGGCCUGACCUCCCAACCCCCACUUCCCCUCUCCCCACCUCACCCUGCUCACCCACGCCCCGGUCACUGCAAGGGGAUGCUGCACCCCCUCAAGGUGAAGAGCUGAUUGAGGCUGCCAAGAGGAACGACUUCUGUAAGGUACUAGCUCCAGGCUCCAGUUCCUUCCCCCAGCAGCUCCCUCGGGCCCUGGGGAGCGAGGCCUCUGGGUUGGGCCAAGAGCUGACCUGCUCAGGUGCUGUCAUCUGUCAUCGUCUGGCCCUCUGUGGGAUCUCCAGUGAUCGUCCCAUUCCACUUCACUGUAUCUCUGUCUAGGCCACAAUAGAUGGCUCCUAGUAGGGGCUUCCUAGCUCAGUCCACUUGUCCCUGGUGCUUAGAAAGGAGCAGGUCAGAGGAAGCACUGCUCCAGGGCUUGGUCACCAAUGCUGCCAGAGAGCCCACAGGCUGUGGGGUGAGAGGCCCACAGAGGCAACUCGGGAGUAAGAUGUGUGAGCGCACUCGUUUCAGGCCUGUGCUGGUGUACCCGGCUGUGGGCCAGCGUGUGAGCUCGGGGAAGGAGGGGUGGCCCCAGGAGGUCCAGCCCUGCCAUGCCUCCUGCCCUCAGCUCCAGGAGCUGCACCGAGCUGGGGGCGACCUCAUGCACCGAGACGAGCAGAGUCGCACGCUCCUGCACCACGCAGUCAGCACUGGCAGC